rnacentral:snRNA from 1 species
GUGUUCACUUUGGCAGCACCUAUACUAAAAAUGGACAAUACGGAGAUUAGCAAAACUCCUGCACAAGGAUGACACACAAACUUAUGAAACGUUCUGUAUUUUU